GCAAGUUCCCCUUUUGAUUGCUACUUCCUCUGCAGGCCAGCGAGUUGAUGGGGCAACAGGAAGACAACUCUCUACCCAAACCUGUACCCCCCGACCCCCAUUCUGUAAUGCUCAAAAUGCAGAGGACUGGAGAUUGGUAUAAUUUGGCCACUGGAACACAAGGAGUGGAGGUACAGAGAGAAUGUGAGUUAGAACACGCAGAUUUUCCAGCCUCGCAGCAGCUGAGGGAAGGAUGUAGGAGCUGGACUGGGAGAGUAGAGCACGGAUGAGCUGGAGACACAGGUCGCUGGUGGAAUGCUUGCUCAGCCUGGGUGAAGCCUCGAUGUCAGUACUGGCAGAGAAGGAGGAAAACAAAGCAUUGGAGGAGGGGCGGGGCACAGGAUGAUGCUGGAGCCCUUACAAGGCUGGAACAGAUGUCACUUGAGCCUCAGGACCUAAGAAAGGGAAGGGCAAAGGAGCGAGCUUUGUUCUGGCCAGUCUUAACACAAGACCAGGCCUCCAAGAAGUUUCCAAGAACCGAGCACAGCAAAACACGCCAACUUUGUGCAGUUUAUGCUCUGUUCGGCUGUGAAUUUGCUAUGGCUAUGGCUCUGAAUGGCUGUGGGGUGGGUUUCCAGUCAUUUAACUUUCACAGCCAAAGAGCCUUGGGCAACUGAAUGGAGCUCUUCUCUGGCUCUUCAGCAUUGGGCUGGUGGAUGAGAAAGCAAGCAUUGACUAGCUGUGGAGUCAGGGGACAGGAAGCGCCUUCCUAGGUCCAAGUUGUUGACCUAAUUCUGCAUUAUGUUUUUAGCCUAGCUGACCUAAUUCUGCAUUGUUUGCGUCGAAUGAGUUGAUUUUUUUUAAUCCCUUUUUUAGUAAAGUGAAUUACUUCCAUUACUUUCAUCUUUUCCAUAUCCCAACUUCCGGUCCUUUACCACAUUGUACACACACUUGGAAAUUCUCUCUUCAAGCCACAUUUCAUUCUUUUAACCCAACAGGGUGAGACUGUCAGCUUACUAGGUGAGUGGCAGUGUCACUGUUGGUUUUAGAAACAUCCUGAUCUUGUGGAUCAUUUAUGGGGACCAGGUUACUAUGUGUUGUCAAGGUUUUAAGAGCUGUGCUGCUGCAGCUUAGUGUUUAGUGUACUGUUGAAAUUUAUACUUUAAUCGGUUUACUUGGGUCAUUAAGUAAUGCCUCACCAGCCCAAAAGCAAAGAUUGCCUUGGCUGUUAUAAUUGUUAUAAUGCCUUCAUUGUUAUAAUGAAUUGUAGGCAUGAUUUUGACUAUGUGAGUGUGUAUGUGUAAAUCAU
rnacentral:lncRNA from 1 species